rnacentral:lncRNA from 1 species
GGAGAGGCCAACAGAUGAGGGAAGCCAUUUUUCUGCAAUGGAAUUAAAUGGCCAAGCCCAAGGACUCACAGUUGGAAGACUGGAGAAGACUUUUUAAAAAGAUCUGGAUUUUUCCUUAUGACUUGGAAUCCAUCUUUGUCUUGUAUAACUAGGUCAUAGCACACCAUUCAUGUCAGCAGUUAACAGUUUUGAAUUCCAAAAAAACCUAAAGCAGUAAACAGUCCUCAGCGAAGCCGCCUUUUUGCCUACCCAACCCUGGAAAGUUUGCAGAAGUGGAAGGAGCAGAACGUGAGGGUGUAACUUACAAAAAGGUUCUGGGCCGGAGAAGGGGCGACGUUCGGGCACCCCCCGAAUGGACAAUCUUUCCUUCUGUCGACGGCAGGGGCAGGCCUAGUUUGACUCUGACAGUCCUCCCACUAAGGAAUUCCUGGUGACUGGAAGGGGAGUGACUUGGGUCCUCAACCUCUAGCAGGUAAGGGAGCUGCCUUCUGGGUGGGCAUGCCCAGUUCCUCAGUGGGCCCAGUGCAGCCCAGCCUCCGAGGAAGCUCUGAGCAGCUGGCUUGGCUCCGAGGUAUUUUUAGCUACAGAUCCAGCCCCCCUCCAUCACCACAACAGUCGAGUCCAAAUCAAACGUGCUCCAGGCAGGUGGGGCUGGGGUUCUGCCAGCCUCCUGGCCAGCAGGGGUGGGUGGGCAGACUGGGGCCAGUAUCAGCUGUUCUGCCUGGACCCAGGCUGGGCUGGGAAGGCACAUUUGUGCUCAUUUCCCGCCUCCAUUUCUGUGCAAGCUUGUGCUGUCAUAAGUAGAGAUCACAGCCCCAUUUCUUGGAUGGAGAAAGUGGACACUGAGGUCUGAGGCUUUUGAGGACAGUCAGGAGCCCUCCUAUGGGCUCCAGUGAUGCACUCACCAGCUUCUGGUCUUCUUCCACCUCUUAGAGUGCCUUGGCUCCCUCCUGUGGUCCUGGGGAACCUCGGCCCCAGCCCUGCCUCCCCAGCCAGUCACAGCUCCUCCCUGGUCACCCU